UAUAGGGGUCGAAAUCAGGGUCAUCAACAUUAGUGUAGUUAAAAUAAACGGGCCUAAUAAAUAAAACGGUUGACGACAUUAUAUUAUUAUUAUUAUUAUUAUUAUAACAGCCUGCAGGGACCGCGUAUGUAUAAGACUAUACCGCGGGUAUAUUGAAGGCAAUUUAGUUAUACUCAAUUUAAAAACGUAAACUGUUUUUUUUUUUUUUUUUUUUAUAUCUACAUUCGGGCCGUUCAUCCAUAAUAAUAACAUAACAAUGUAAACCUGCAAUAUUUUAUAUUUUGUGCGAGGGUCUUUUUCAUAGUACUUUCGUUUUUUUCUUGGUAAUAUUGUUGGUAAUUUCGCAUUCGAUUGGUGAAAUUGUUUAUUUCGUGAAAUGUUUGCACAUUGUGAAAUUUGCGAAAAUUUGAUAUUCGAUUUAGGUGUAUUACUUGAAAUAUAUUUUCCGUAACC